rnacentral:lncRNA from 1 species
CGAAAACUUCAGUCUUUACAUUCUCAAAUGUUUAGUUAAUUUUUUGCUGCUGUCAUUUCUUCUAUUGAAUUUUGGUUGCAAAAGUCCUUUUUACCUUUUAUUAUUGGCAUUCUUCAUUUAAAAAUAUAUUCCAGUUAAAAUAUAUUUUAAUAUAUGUUAUAAAAUGUGGAUUUGGCUUGAUAUUUCUAAUAGGUAGUCAACUAGCCUCAGUAUGUGUUUGUCUUUAAACUCAGUUGGAGUCAUGGGAUGUGUCUUUACUUUAGAAUUUUGGAAAAUUAAGAGUACAAAGCUAAAACACAUAUACAAAAGAGGCAAGUAUUUUAUUCUACUUCUACCUUUCCAUUGUUCAUGUUUAGUAUAAUAUGACUGCUCAUCUUAUUUUAUAUGCUUACAACAUUAGAUAAAACACUACACAGGAUUUUAUUUCUUACUAAGAAUUUGUAAAGUUUCCUUUUCCUCUACUUUUUUUCUUCUUGACCAGUUUUGCCAAUUAUAAUAUAGAUUGCUUGUGGAUGGAUAUGUCUGAAAGGUUAUUUGUAUCUGAGCACAGCUAAUUCUAGGCACAGAUCUAAUGUCAAAAUAAAGUAAUCAGUAUAUAUCCUGUCCCUUGCUUCUCUCUACCAGUUUCAGAUUCUGUUUCAUGGAGCAAAAAUACAGCCCCGUCUUCUUCUGCAGUGACAAUCCAGAGGAUUAUUUCUCUCUUCAUUUAGCAGCUCCUCAUUCAGUAUCUUCUCGUUUGUAAGAAAGGCCACCUUCCAUGAUGAACUCCUGUCUCUGCCUAUACUAUGAUCCACUAUCUCAGGAUGAAGUAUUUGGAUUUGAAUGCAGACUUUCCCUGCCACAACUUCCUACUUGUGUGGACAAGAGAACCCUGGCAUGGAAUGUGGAACCCAUGGAUUAUCUCUUACAUGAAUGA